GACGUAGGGCGCAAGCGUUGUCCGGAUUUAUUGGGCGUAAAGAGCUCGUAGGCGGCCUGUCGCGUCGACCGUGAAAACCCGCAGCUCAACUGCGGGCUUGCGGUCGAUACGGGCAGGCUCGAGUUCGGUAGGGGAGACUGGAAUUCCUGGUGUAGCGGUGAAAUGCGCAGAUAUUAGGAGGAACACCGGUGGCGAAGGCGGGUCUCUGGGCCGAUACUGACGCUGAGGAGCGAAAGCGUGGGGAGCGAACAGG
rnacentral:rRNA from 1 species